CUGCUCCUCUGCCUCCAAACUCUUGCUCUGGUUCUGCAACACUAGGCCUGUUCCUGUCUAGUGCUGCUUGACAACCUCUCAAGUAUGCUGCCCUGCACAAUGGAAACCAUAUUGAAAAGGAAAAGCAGUCGUUGCAAAGAGAGGACACAGUCGCCGGAGUCCUGCUUCUGACAACCACAGACAGACACAGUCAGACAGACAGACACUACCCUGUGCAGUCUAAGACAGGGACUGGGUCAGAACCAGAACCAGCCCUAGAGGGGGUCAUUCUAAAGCGGCCUCUCCCACUGAGAGACAGCCAAACCGACAACAUCUCUGGACUUAAUUCUUAGUAGCGGGAUCUGAUUAUGGACUGUGGAAUACUUAAAGGUGAAGAAUGUUGCCAAAGCUAUUUGAUAUUAACUUUGUUUUAAGAUAUGUAUUUCCAUAUUUCCUUUGCUUAGAAAAGGAAGAAAUACACUCAAAAUCUUUUUGAUCCACUAUAGCUAGCUCCGUUAGUUAACGGAUGUUCCAGUAAUGCUUAGUGUUAUCUGUCACCAAUAUAAACAUUUCAAUAAGCUGUAUUGAUCUAAGGAGGUGCAAUUUUACACAGGCACAGAGGGCUCAUAACCCCUUCAUUUAGAAUUAAGUAUGAACUUGAAAUGUUCUCAUUUUAUUAAAAUUCAGGUUUCUUAUCUCUCCCUGUCAUUGGUUGCCCUAUACUCAAUCACUAUCAGCCUAGAUCCCGUAACUUUCCUUUGAUGUUCUGCAUAAUCCUUAAAAGCCGAAAGCGAUAGAAAGUAAUUGAACACACCCACGGUAUUGUAUGGUAUGUGAUGAAAUGAUUCAUACCCUGAAGUGCAUUAUUAGCUGCUACACUUUAUAAAUGAUCCAUCCCUUCUCUGUCAUGACUCCUCUCUCAGAUGUCUACAAAGAUGGACCAUGCAAUAAGAUGGACAUGUUUCAAUAAAAGGUUUUUAAAGGUUA